rnacentral:rRNA from 1 species
GAUGAACGCUGGCGGCGUGCCUAAUACAUGCAAGUCGAGCGAACGGACGAGAAGCUUGCUUCUCUGAUGUUAGCGGCGGACGGGUGAGUAACACGUGGAUAACCUACCUAUAAGACUGGGAUAACUUCGGGAAACCGUAGCUAAUACCGGAUAAUAUUUUGAACCGCAUGGUUCAAAAGUGAAAGACGGUCUUGCUGUCACUUUUAGAUGGAUCCGCGCUGCAUUAGCUAGUUGGUAAGGUAACGGCUUACCAAGGCAACGAUGCAUAGCCGACCUGAGAGGGUGAUCGGCCACACUGGAACUGAGACACGGUCCAUACUCCUACGGGAGGCAGCAGUAGGGAAUCUUCCGCAAUGGGCGAAAGCCUGACGGAGCAACGCCGCGUGAGUGAUGAAGGUCUUCGGAUCGUAAAACUCUGUUAUUAGGGAAGAACAUAUGUGUAAGUAACUGUGCACAUCUUGACGGUACCUAAUCAGAAAGCCACGGCUAACUACGUG